ACUCCUACGGGAGGCAGCAGUGGGGAAUAUUGCACAAUGGGCGCAAGCCUGAUGCAGCCAUGCCGCGUGUGUGAAGAAGGCCUUGGGUUGUAAAGCACUUUCAGUCGUGAGGAAGGUAGUGUAGUUAAUAGCUGCAUUAUUUGACGUUAGCGACAGAAGAAGCACCGGCUAACUCCGUGCCAGCAGCCGCGGUAAUACGGAGGGUGCGAGCGUUAAUCGGAAUUACUGGGCGUAAAGCGCAUGCAGGUGGUUUGUUAAGUCAGAUGUGAAAGCCCGGGGCUCAACCUCGGAAUAGCAUUUGAAACUGGCAGACUAGAGUACUGUAGAGGGGGUUAGAAUUUCAGGUGUAGCGGUGAAAUGCGUAGAGAUCUGAAGGAAUACCGGUGGCGAAGGCGGCCCCUGGACAGAUACUGACACUCAGAUGCGAAAGCGUGGGAGCAAACAGGAUUAGAUACCCCUGGUAGACUGUCA
rnacentral:rRNA from 1 species